rnacentral:rRNA from 1 species
CAAUCAAACCGGGAGAUAGCUGGUUCUCCCCGAAAGCUAUUUAGGUAGCGCCUCGUGAAUUCAUCUCCGGGGGUAGAGCACUGUUUCGGCUAGGGGGCCAUCCCGGCUUACCAACCCGAUGCAAACUGCGAAUACCGGAGAAUGUUAUCACGGGAGACACACGGCGGGUGCUAACGUCCGUCGUGAAGAGGGAAACAACCCAGACCGCCAGCUAAGGUCCCAAAGUCAUGGUUAAGUGGGAAACGAUGUGGGAAGGCCCAGACAGCCAGGAUGUUGGCUUAGAAGCAGCCAUCAUUUAAAGAAAGCGUAAUAGCUCACUGGUCGAGUCGGCCUGCGCGGAAGAUGUAACGGGGCUAAACCAUGCACCGAAGCUGCGGCAGCGAACGUAUCACCCAAGACAACUUUACGGAGUUGACGAUUGACGGAGCGAAGCGACGUCAAAGCGUUCAUUAAAGUCGAGUUGGCUUAGGGAUACGUUCGUUGGGUAGGGGAGCGUUCUGUAAGCCUGUGAAGGUGUGUCGUGAGGCAUGCUGGAGGUAUCAGAAGUGCGAAUGCUGACAUAAGUAACGAUAAAGCGGGUGAAAAGCCCGCUCGCCGGAAGACCAAGGGUUCCUGUCCAACGUUAAUCGGGGCAGGGUGAGUCGACCCCUAAGGCGAGGCCGAAAGGCGUAGUCGAUGGGAAACGGGUUAAUAUUCCCGUACUUGGUGUUACUGCGAAGGGGGGACGGAGAAGGCUAUGUUGGCCGGGCGACGGUUGUCCCGGUUUAAGCGUGUAGGUGUGUGUUCCAGGUAAAUCCGGUUCACUUUAACACUGAGGCGUGACGACGAGGCACUACGGUGCUGAAGCAACAAAUGCCCUGCUUCCAGGAAAAGCCUCUAAGCAUCAGG